AUUUUUUUAUAAUUAUUUAUUUAAUAAUUAUUAAUAGAUAUUUUUAAAAAGAUUUUUUUUAAUACCUUUUGUAUAAGUGUUUAACGAUAAAGUAAUUUUUUAAUUUUUCCCGAAAUUACUAGGUAAGUAAAUAAAAAAUAUUAACGUGGCAUAGUUAUUAAUUAUUUGUUUACAGGAAUGAAAAAUUUUCAUUAGUAAUGAUAACUGGAUUUUAAAUAAAAGUAUUAAGUACUUAAGGCAUUUAAAAAGUAUUUAGAUUUUUUAAAAGGAGGAUAGUAAAAUAUUAUUAUUUUUUAUAUAAAAUAAUUUUUUUAUAGGUAUUUGAUAAAAUAAUGUUUUAUUUUUUUUAUCUUAAUAAAAUUUAAAAUUAUAAAAUUAUUUUUUUUUAUAUUUUUUUUGUUAAAAUUAGUAAAUAAUUAAUAUCUUUUUAGGAAUUCGGCAAUUAUUAUUUCAACUGUUUAUCAAAAACAUAGUUUAAGGAAAUAAUCUUAAAUGAAUUCUGCCCAGUGAUUUUUUUUUAAAUGGCCGCAGUACCUUGACUGUGCUAAGGUAGCAUAAUCAAUUGGCUUCUAAUUAAAGUCUGGAAUGAAAGGAAAUAUGAAGUAAUUCUAUCUUAAAGGAUUUUUUUUGAAUUUAUUUAAAUGAUGAAAAUAUCAUUUUAUAGAAAAAAGACGAGAAGACCCUUAGAGUUUUGAUAUUUAUAUAUUUUUGUUGGGGCGACAGGUAAACAUAUAACUUUACGAAUUAUCAUUGAUCGAUUUUUUAUAAGAAUAAUAAAACUACCUUAGGGAUAACAGCAUUAUAUUUUUUUUUAUGAUUGUGACCUCGAUGUUGGACUAGGAACUUUAUGGCUAGCCGUCAAAAAAGAUUUGUUCUGUUCGAACAAUUUUAUCCUACAUGAUCUGAGUUCAGACCGGCGUGAGCCAGGUCAGUUUCUAUCUUUUAUUUUAAUAUUUUUAGUACGAAAGGAUCGGAAUAUUUUUUUUA
rnacentral:rRNA from 1 species